AAGGAGCAUGCACUGAUGGAGCUUGCCCAGAAUCACUUAAUUCCUUAGUGAUGAGUAUGUCAACCUGAUCCUCGUUACUACAAUGGUUACAUCAACGGCUCAGCUUUGGUGGGUACGGAUCUUGCGGGAUUAAAAGGUGGGGAA